GUUCGUUUGAAAUAUAAAAUUUGAAAUUUCCAAAUAUUUUCAGAAAAAUCAAAUAAUUUUAAUAAAAUAUUUCGAAAAGAUAACUUUGUCAAUUUUAAAAUAAGAUUUGUUUGUGAACUUUUCCAAAUUAACAAUAUUUUAUCCCGACCGACCGGAUCACGUUUCGGAAAACAAAGUUCCUCUUCAUACGAAAUUCGCUGAAUUAAUGCAAAAGAGGAUUUUCCUACGCAUUCUUCGCUGAGAGCCUUUAACACACGAGUUUCCUAACAAGUUCUACAUCUUCCUUUGACUGUUGGACCCAUAAAACAAUAUGGUGCAUUAGUCGAUGAGCGAACUGGCAUUUAAUAAGGAAUCUGGAAAAUAAGGUUUCAACAUCACUUUUUCCUUGAGAUUUAAUUCGGAUAUUGUUUACAAUUUUUAUGUUUAAGGAAAUUGAAAAUUUUACUACCAUCACUAUGUAAAACUUAUUCUUCUUAAAAUCAACAUCUUGAUAUAUACGGUGCAGCUGUCGCUUCUUGAUUAAAUUAAGUUUCCUGAACAAUAUAGUACAAGAUGCUGAACAUCCACAUAUCAUCAUCAUUAAUCACACUAAAAUGAACCAGUGGUGCUAAAAGGAACAGCUUAACGAAACUCCAUUUGGAAAAAUGAAAUAAAAUGUUCCAUUAAAAGUUUCUAGAAUUCCAGAACCCAUUCAAACAUGGCAAUAGAUGACUGUGGGUCGAGCCUCGCCUGAAAUGGUUACUUUUUCUAACAUUUUGUGUAUUUUACAUGGAAUAAUUAUUUCUGGAUUCAGAAUAUGUCACGUUGCCAUAUUUAUACCCAAACCAACUAUAUGAGUAAGGUUUAUAACAUGCCGACCCAAAUUUGUCUUUACUGAUCGAUUUUUUCAAACAAGACUUUUAUAUAAGUGAAUUUAAUAAACUUGUUAUUAAUUUUUCACAGUCGCUAGA